GUUUUUAAACUCAUCCACUGUCAUAUGGCUGUUCAGCUUCUCAAACUCUGGUGAUUUUUUGUAAAGCUCAAAUUCUUGGUUCCAUUGUUCAUCAGUAAGAGGAGGAAUUACGCCAGUGAUGGGCUUCCAUUCAGUAAUACUUAACCCGGAUUCAGUUAGUCUAGUAAUGCCACCUACAACAACAAUUGCAAGAACAAGAGCAGAAGAUCCAAGCAGCCAAAAGGCGACCUUUUUACUCGGAAUUUUUUCGGUUUCCUGUAGGAUGCCACCUGGUGUAGGAGCGACUGAGUUACUCAGCCGGCGAGCAAAAAACUUUUCAAAUGAAUUUUUAUUAAACUUACAAUCAUUCAAAAAUAAAUUCUUAGUCCGUGACAAAUUAAUUUCAUUUAAAACACUCGAUCCAGAGAAGCUCCUGCUCAUUCUCCAACUUGACCUUCCAAGGCAAGAAAUGUCGCAGCCUUUCCGUAAGGGCUGAAGCAGGAACUGUCUCAUCAGACCUGAUGAACGUGAAAUGUUCAUUGGUAAUUGUUUACUUUUGUUUGCGUUUCGCUUAAAAAAGUAGGUUCAUGGAGAGAGAGGAAUGGUACCUAACCUCCCGGUUCUAUACCACAAUAAUCUAACGGCGCACUUUCAGAGUCGCUAUAAGUAGACAAGCUAUAUUAACGUAGGCCGUUUGAUAUAUACAAGAUCUGAGUGGAUCGUCGAUGAAUAGUUUAAUUUGAUGCGACAAUUCGCUGAAAUCUGCACGUAGCAUAUUUGAAUCGAUG